rnacentral:rRNA from 1 species
UACGAAGGGGGCUAGCGUUGUUCGGAAUUACUGGGCGUAAAGCGCACGUAGGCGGCUUUGUAAGUUAGAGGUGAAAGCCCGGAGCUCAACUCCGGAACUGCCUUUAAGACUGCAUCGCUUGAAUCCGGGAGAGGUGAGUGGAAUUCCGAGUGUAGAGGUGAAAUUCGUAGAUAUUAGGAAGAACACCAGUGGCGAAGGGCGGCUC